GGAUGUCACUCUGGAGAAGCUCACGAACUGGGUGCCGAAGGGGCAAAGCGGCGCGAAAAGCGCUGCCAAUCUCUCAGGCAAAAGGACAGAGGAUAAACA
rnacentral:ncRNA from 2 species